GUGGUUUGGGGUUCUGCAAACCUCCAGGAAGCUAGGAGUUGCUUUCCAUGCAGAAAAGGGUACUGAGUUCCUUGUGAAAUCUCCCUUUGUUCUCUAGGUGUUGCCAAAAUAAAGCCACAGUGACAAGUGUAUCUUUCCCUACCUAUUCUAAGAUAAUUAACAAAGGAAAAGAGGCUAAACCUUUCAAAACAGACCUGACAAUAGAAUAAGGAGACAUCUCUCAGACACCAAAUCUUGUCAAAAUAUAGCCAAAAGACAACAAGAAGUAGGAAUUUGUGUUUACUACAUUUAAUUACACUUGUAUAUCUCUUUCUAUAUCAAGCAUCCCAGAAAGCCAUGAAUUUUAAGACAAAACAAAACUUCACUUCAGUUUUCCUAUAAACACCUCUACCUCAAUAUGAA